GAUGAACGCUGGCGGCGUGCCUAAUACAUGCAAGUCGAGCGAACAGACGAGGAGCUUACUCCUCUGACGUUAGCGGCGGACGGGUGUGUAACACGUGGAAAACCUACCUAUAAGACUGGUAUAACUUCGGGACACCGGAGCUAAUACCGGAUAACAUGUUGCACCGCAUUGUUCAACAGUGAAAGACGGUCUUUCUGUCUCUUAUAGAUGGAUCCGGGUCGCAUUAGCUAGUUGGAAGGGCAACGGCUUACCAAGGCAACGAUGUGUAGCCGAUCUGACAGGUUGAUCGUCGAGAUUAGCACGGAGACACGGUCCAGGCUCCGACGGUAGGCGUCAGUGGGGAAUGUUCCGCAAUGGGCGAAAGCCUGGCGGGGCAACGGCACGUGAGUGAAGAAGGUCUUCGGAUCGUAAAACUCUGUUAUGAGGUGAGAACAAAUGUGUAAGUAACUAUGCACGUCUUGACGGUACCUAAUCAGAAAGCCACGGCUAACUACGUG
rnacentral:rRNA from 1 species